rnacentral:rRNA from 1 species
UACGAAGGGGGCUAGCGUUGUUCGGAAUCACUGGGCGUAAAGGGCGCGUAGGCGGCGCGACAAGGCGGCGGUGAAAGUCCGGGGCUCAACCCCGGAUCGGCCGUGGCGACUGUCGCGCUCGAGCACAGUAGAGGCGGGUGGAAUUCCGGGUGUAGCGGUGGAAUGCGUAGAGAUCCGGAAGAACACCGGUGGCGAAGGCGGCCCGCUGGGCUGUGGCUGACGCUGAGGCGCGACAGCGUGGGGAGCAAACAGG